CUCAAAUUCUGAUGUUAAACUGUUAUGAGUAUCCAGAGAAAGAGGAAAUGAAGAAGAUCUCAUAACAUUUCAGGAAGAAGAGAGUUAAACACAGAGUUGUCAUUCCUGCAUUUUCAUUUCUGUGUUCAUGGUUAUUUGGAUAAUUGGAAAGUAUGCUUUCUCAAAUGAGUUAGACUUCCUGGAACAAUUAUAUCAGGGUCUUGAUCACUGCAUCUGUAAAAAUGAGUUUUUCAGAGACCAGAACUGUAAACAAGUGUAUCUUCUCCCAUAUUCUGCUCAUGCUCUGCUUUCGAAGAGAGGCUGUUUGAAUUAUUCUACCCUGAGAGAAGUAUGUUUAAAAUAUCUUCUUUCACUUUUGAUUAUGCUUAGUGACUUAAUUGCUACAGUGAGUAUUUUUGAGCAGUGUAGAAUAAGAUUCAGAAGAAAGAAGAAACAUGAUAAAAGUGGUAAACCUGGGGAAUAUUAGCAUUUUGGAGAAAUUUGUUUUUUUUAGCAUGAUGCCAGAAAACAUUCUAAUAUUCUGGACAACUAUUAUAACUCUCCUAGAGAACAUGAAGAAAAAAAUCAUAAUGAAAUCUGGAACUUAUUUUAGUUUUAGAAUUUUGUCAAACUUGCAAACACAAUAGCACAUGUCACACUGAAAUUCUCUUUCAGAUCUGACCAAAUAAACUCAUUAAGAAAUGUGGGUGGAAUGAAAAG
rnacentral:lncRNA from 1 species